UAACACUCAAAUCAAAUAUAAUAAGCCCAAGCACAACAACUUUCAAAAAGAAUCAUAGUUUUUCUAAAUUGAUAGCAACUAAUGAAUCAGUUACCCACUUAAUGUUCUGAUGUCUUUGGAUGAUAGAAUUGAAUUCAAUUGAUCUCUGCUGUAACUCCAGUUCAACAUUUCCUUUAUGAUGCAUAACAAUCUCUCUUAUCCUCCUGAUCAGAUAAUAAAAAUAAUGACAGCGAUGAUGAUAAUGAUGAUAUUAUGUAUCACAGCAUAUAAAGUAGAAAGUAUCAUAAUUCAAAUAAAAAAUGAAUGUUGAAUAGAGAAGAUAAACCACAACUAUAACAAUCCAGCCUUUUACCAACUAUUUAGUGUCAGCAUAGAGAUUUGUGGAUUAUUUCCAAGAAAACAGUGGAGCAAAUUAUUUUUUGGUAAAACAUUAAGACAUGUCGAGAUUAGAAACAAUUCGGUUAAGUCCGUAGGGGUUGUUGGAACUAAUCCCAACUGGGGCGCAGCCCCACUUUUUUGUUGGAGAGAUAUCUUCAACCAGACUCUUUCGAGUCGAAAACCCUUCAUGAACCUUUCAUUUUCGCUCUCAAGGCUGGAUGAAGGAGAAUGGUUGCAUUCGAUUGACAACCAGCAUUAAAACAAGAAAAGAUAGAAAAUAACAUGUGCAUAAGAUAGAGUGUAGCCAAAAUGAAAAUGUUGAGAUGGAUGUGUGAUAAUACAAAAAAAGAUAGAAUAAGAAUAAAGUAAUUCAUAGAAAGAUAGAGGCAGCACUAAUUGCGGACAAAUUGAGAGCAGGGCAACUUAGAUGGUUUGGAUAUAUAUAAUAUAGGCCAAAAAAUGCACCAAUACAUAGGAGUAACUUGAUACAUGUAGAAGGAAAGAGGGAUAGAGAUGGAUUGAAAAUCACAUGGGAUGAAGUAAUAAGGAAGAACUUGAUAUCACUACAUCUUUCAAAAAGUGUAGCCCUAGACAAAACGGAAUGGAGGAAAAAGAUUCAUGCGGACCCCAUUUAGUUUGGGAUUAAGUCUUGAAUGAGUUGAGUUGAGUUCAAUCAAAAAAAGAUUUGCAAGCCUAACAUAAAACAGAUCUUACAUUUAGAACUCAUUACAGAUUGAGCAUAUACAUAUGCAUAUUUAUAUACAUACAUACAAAUUAGUAGGUUAAAAUAAAGAAAAAGAAAAAGACAAAAAUAACUAGAUUGAAGUUUUUAUGACUAAACACUUUAUCAAAGACAAUGCAUAUUUGGAUGCGAAUAGUACAUGUAGCUUUCCUAACUCUGAAUUAGUCCUGUUAAACUUAUGAACGGUAAUGAACAUGUGGUUUGCAGAACUCUGAAUGCACCCUGUUAAACUUAUCAGAUACAGUGAAGUGGUACUAAUUAAAGACAAUCAAGCACUCAGAGAUGGAGUCAAACUUGUGAAAGUGGAGAUAAUAAUAAGCAUUAAAGCAAUUUUAUGUAAUUAAAUGGGUUGAGAACAUACUCCGAGGUGGGAGGAAAACGUGAGGAGAGCUUCAAAAGAGCAACCAAGGACAUUGCUCGAGUUGUGAUAUCUGAAGAAUGACAUUUUAAAGCAACCUCUACAACAUCCACAGCAUCGGAUUCUGUCACCUGCACCAGAGAUUUCUGCUUGUCAUAAAGGUAUCAGCACUUUACAGAACAAAUUCAUAUCUCAAAAAGAGAUAAUAACAUUCAACUGUUUAUUUUUUUGGUAAACGUUCAACUGCUUUUAGGAUUGCAAGAUGUCAUAAGUAGAAUGUUUAGAGAAGCAAGAGAUCUCAAGCAUGGAAAAAUUGAAAGAUGGCAUCAGGAAAAUUUUUUGAUUAAUAGGCUUGAAAAUAUGGAUGCAGAGAUGAGGACCAAGAAGAGAAGGAAAUGAGAUCAUGCCCAAGAAUAGUGUAUUUGAGUUUAAAGUACAUUAGCAUAAAAUCUUGAGAGAUGAAGUAUCAAAGGGAGGGUGUAGCAAAAAAAAGUAUCAUAGGGAGGGCAUUAGAACUCGAGAAUUUAACUAAUACAAUGUCAUGUGAAAUGGCAGAUUCCAGAGUCUAGCUAAAUGACUUCCUGGAGAAACUACAGGUAAGUAACACUAUUUUUUUUUAAAAAAAAUGGUGGUGGAAAGAUACUUGUCCAAGAGACCAUCAAGAAAGAAGCUAUAGCAUCAAAGACUUUCAAGGAUGAUUAAAAGAAAAGAAAAAUGAUAGCAAGGAUGCAAAAGGCAAGGUCCGCCGAACCGGUACCGAGACUUGUACCGGUCCGCGGACAGGUCGGUACGGUACUGAACCAGUACAGUACCGACCAAAGUUCAUCGAACCGUUACCAGUUGGCGCCCGGUAUGGUUCCGUACCGUAUCGUGUCAGUACGGGUAGGGUGUGCCGGUUCCGUACCAGCACACCCAUUUUUUUUGAAAUUUUUCAAAUUUUUUUAAUUAGUAAUCACUCUUUUUGAAUUUUUCAAUGAUUUUAAGUCUAAUUUGAUGUUUUCUUGAUUUUUUUGUUUUUUUAUGUUUUUAUAAUUCCAAUUUAACCUAAAUGAUGCAUCUUAUUGUUUUAAAAUGAUACAAAUCAUAAAAUAAUUAGUAAAAUGUCGCAUACUACGAUAAACAUAAAAUAUCCUCAAAUUAAGUAGUGAUGUGAAAAUUUAAAAUAAUACAAUUAAUUAUAUUCAAAGUAUAACAUUCAUGCCGACAUCUAAAAUCGGGUCGAGUGGCAAUAGUCAGGAUCUCAUAGAUAUCUGGAUCAUCAGUAUAGUUAGGAGGCACAUCAGCCUACCCCUCUAACCAAGCGGUAUUCUAGUCUUGUACGCUCAUCCCAUAAGGAAUGCGCGCUGGGUUAUAAGCUCUCGAAUCUCUCGCUGAAGCUCUGAUUCUGAGAGAUGUCCUCUAGCUGAUAAUACGCUGUGGAGGAGCCCAUCCGAAUAUCCCGGCAGCAAAAUCCGACCCAUAAGAUGCUCCGGGCUGCGUAGAAUAGUAGCCACAGGAAGAUAUCUCAAACACAUCAUAUCUGUAUGGGUCAUAGGUUCUAUGUGGGUACAGAUAAUAGGAUCCAGUAUAUAACUCAGAACCUGAUACGUCUAUGUAUCCUACUUCAUGUGCGAGAUCAUCUGCAGCUGCAUCGUGUCCUGAAUGAUCUUGAGAAGCUCGUGUCCUAUAUGCAAUCGUAUUCUUGCGGUACUUUACUAGAUCAUGCACCGUGAUCCCUAUCCUGUGUAGCAUACGUAAACUGAAAAUCACCAGUGAAUCAAAGAUCACUCUGCGACUGUCUUAUAAAUGAUGGUCAUGUCCUCCACUUUCUUCCUAGUCAGCAGAUUCAUGACCACCAGAACUGCUACUUCUGUUCUCUGAAUCUAAGUGAACUGACUCAUCGAUACUCUCUACUAGGGAUGCAGGUGCUUUUUGUUUUUUUUUGUGCUGAGCAGCCGUCUUCUUACUCUUCGUGCCCCUCUGUCUGGCCAUGCUGGGAGGAUGUGUCGCUCUCCUGACCGAGUCGACCGGGUAGCAUAGUGGACUCGUCCAAGUAUCUCUCGGUCAUAUCUCUGAGAGAAUGUCUCGGACAAGAAGUCGUGGUGACCGACUCUCCUGUAGUUAUGGCUGAUCAGUUGGAAGGAUGCGUGAAAUAUUGCUCUCAGCCCAUUGUCCUGCAUCAACUCUAGCCUCGUUGGCUACAAAACUGGCCAGUUGUGGAGGCAAUCCUCGCUCAUCAAGCUCCGGCUUCUGCUGCUGGCCCACAAGCCAUCCAAUCAUAGCAUUAUCCUCAUUAAUGAAAGCACUAUGGAUCGAAUCUGUGUACUUGAAUUCCACUUUCUUCUGAAUGCACUUCAACCUCAACCUCAACCUCAGAUUGUAGUAAACAUAUACAAGAUCGUUGAGGCACUUCUGUGUCAAAUAGUUCCUCUACUUGCUGUGGUUAAGGACGAAGGUGGACCAGUUGCGCUUACAUCUAUUGGAGAAGACCGUCUGAAGAGAAUCCGGAUAGCUAGCUGCUUAACAUUUUUCGCGGACAACCCAAAAUGAAUCUACUAUUCAGCUGCAAAAACAUUAAAGAAAAUUACAUAUAAGAUAGUACUAAAUUAGUAACGAUCUAACGCUAGGUAAAUAUCCUCCUGAUGUGUAACAUACCUGGAUUCAUACUUUUCUUACGACAGCUGUCGAGACUCUAAAGUUGUCGCUGCCCUUUCUAAAUAUUUUGAUCUGUGAAAAAGAACUAUGUUGUACUAUGUUAAUAAUAGAAGAUACUAGUUAACUUACACAUGUCACUUAAGUUAACUUACCUCUUCUAGACAUAGGGCCGUGACUUUUGGAUAUGGCUCCAUCUUUUAAAUCACAUUAUGCAAAGUGACCAAAAGAUUGUCAUCCAUAUCAAUUUCAGGUACGCUACACUGAAAUCGAGGAUUCAGAUAGUAUGAUGCACAUAGUUUAUUAAUAUCUUAGUAAAAUUGUACAAGUACAAGAGCAGACUAAUUUUCAAUAUUCUUGCCUACCUGCUAGAUAUAAGUUCCUACCCAUCUGAUAGUCCACCGCUGCUUAAUGAUAUCGAUGUACUCAUGGGCAUGCAUCUGAGUCUUUGCCCUCUCUAUGUGAUACAAGAAGCCCAUCUAGGGUAUCUCUCGUUGUCCACAGCUCGAAGCAUUUCAUACAAUGGUCUGAUAGCCUUCACUAUCGCAGUGGCCCGCUGUCAAAAUGUCUAUCUGGUUACUAAGUCCUCGACACUGCUCCCUUCAGUGCCAAUCCGCGUAUAUCUACUUUUCUGCCCCUCGGGACUGACAAACAUCGGACGUAGAAUUGCUUUUUUCUCAAAAAGGCUAUCAAAUACAUCAUAGUUGGUAGCAAAUCGUGUAACUCUUGAUCUCAAGAUCUCUCCCCCUGCAAACCUCCUCAUCAGUAAAAGAAUUCACGUGCGGUUAUAAAUAUAUCUGAUGAUGGUUUGGGUUGUCUCCACUAUCCACUGCACCUUACGAAUCUUCGCAAUAUUCAACAUGAGGUCAAUACAAUAUGUAGCAUAUGGGGUCCAUAAAUGUAGCCGCCGCUCAAUCAAAAUCUUUUCGGCAGUCUUAUAUUAUGGCAGAUUUCAGUGAUGACCUGCACGACAUUCUCCUCUCCUACCUAAUCAAUCACCUCCAUCAGUUUGAAAAUGUACGGAGCAUCGUGCACCCGAUCAGAAGCAUCAACCGACUUAUAGAAGAAAGUCUCUGUAUCACAAUAUAUCAGAAAGUUGAUGCUCCGUCUGGUAGGACCAGUCCAACCAUCACACAUCACUAUCAGUCCAUAUGUGGGCCACUUACUCUUGUAGGAGGCAAUCCAUUUCUCUAGCUCCUUAUUACUAUCAAGAAGUUCAUCAUAGAUGUCCUUAGGGCCUGGAGGACCUACACUAAGACUUGCAACCUAUAUGGCAAAAAUGACAGACCUCUAGUAUGUAUUGUCCGCCACAUUCGGUGAAAUGUGGCUGAAGUAGAACUAGAAUCCAAUAACUCGCCACAUAUCCUUCUUAUUCUUUUUCAGUAUUGAGUCAGCCCAAUCUCUACUGAAAAAGGCAUGUGAAUUUAAAUCAUGGAUUGCUGCUCCUGGUGGAAUCUCUCUGGAUGACUUCUUUUUGCUACCAAAAGCCUCUAGCAUAGAUCCAAUCUAGCCACCACCUCUGGUGACGGCCUUCCUGACUGAGGUCCUUUUGAACUCUAAAUCUGGCCUACUGCUCGUAGAACUGAAGCCCCUCAUUGUACGAGGCCAAAAUGAGCUCUAUGCCUCACCGCCUCAUCAUGCUGCCACUGAUCAUCCAGGUUCGCCUGCAUGGCAACUUAAAUCUACGCCUCCUCGUCAUCUGGAGCUGACGCCACCUCUUCUGACUCUUUGGAGUGAUAUGAAGAUGACUCUGCCGCUUGGCGGUCCACCUCUGCCUUCUUGAAAACCCUCUUUUGCUACUCUAAAAUCAGCGAAGUACUUCAUCAGCUGCCGAACCUACUGAGUAAUUCCGGCACAUAAAUACAUCGGAAUAACCAUCAGCUAAGUGCUACUUCAACCUAGUUACCUCCUCUCUUGAACUCUGUAUUGCACCAGUUGCACUUCUAAUAGUGCCGACCCAUUUUUGCCCAUGAUCCUAGCCAAUGUCACGCUCUGGCUUCUUUUUCCUUGAUGGCUCCAUUCCUACAGGUUUAUCAUGUAUUUUAUUUUAUCAAUUAUUUAAAAAUAUCAAAAUUUUGUUACAACGAACAUAAUUUUUUUACCUUAUAAAAUACAUCUGAUUUAUCUAAUACAUAAUAUUAAUUUUUCAGAUUUAUUUAUUUAUAUAUAAUAAUUUUUAAAUUUAAAAAUAUGUUUAAAUUACAUAAAUUCAAAAAAAUAUGAUAUAUAGCUCAAAAAUUACUUCUAAAUUAUAUAAUACGUACUACUAAUUUUUCAUAAUUUUUAAAAAUAUUUAUAUAUUUUUUAAUUAUUUUUUAAAAUUUAAAAAUAAUUUUUAAAUAUUAAUAUUUUAAAAAUUAAUUUCAGCUCAGAUUCAUGUAGAACCUAACAAUGAAUGCUACAUAUAUUUUUCUAGGCCCUUAGCCAUGCAUCAAAGGCUACUUAUUUCUAAAUUUUUUUCAAAUUUAGGCUUAGGCCACUAUGUGCAUGAUCGCAUCAAAACUUGAAUGAAUGGACACCAAAUUUUUAUAAAGAGCAACUUGCAUGCCCCUAAAUACGUUUCUAUUUUUACAAAUUUUUAAAUUUUUAUAUAUUUUAAAAAAUUCUUUCAUUUUUAAUCCAAAAAUAUAUUUCUAAUUUUUAAAAAUUAUAUAUAAUUCAAAAAUUAAAAAAUUUAUGUCAUCGUGUAGAUCGUCUAUAGAUCUACAACAUAUAAUAAAAUCAAACCCAAAACAAAAAUUUUGGUAUAAUCUUUCCUUAUUUUAUAAUUUUUGAGCUAUAUUUCGAAGCUCCAAAAAAAAAAGAGGAAAUAAUAUAGAAGAGAAAAAAACAUACGUUAUUUAAGCUUUGAUCUUUCUUCUGAACUGUUGAAUCGGUGAAAUUUUUAAAUUUUUGAGCAGCGAAAACCUCUCCGCCACUUUUACCUGUUGUCGGGAAGGCCUUCUCGAGCCUUCACAAUAACAAAUAACCACUUUAAACAACUCAAAAGGCGGGGCCCGGUUUAGAACCGAGUCAACUAGGUGCGAACCGGCCGGUUCGCACCAGUUCCAGCCACUAUGGACCCUCACUAGUCGGUUCGGGACCGGUUCCGGUCGGUUCGAGGUCGGAACCGAAAAUUAAAGGCAAACCAACCAGGUUUUCUUGCUCGAUCAGGGUCAGCUCGAUACUGCCCGAACCGGAUGGUUCGGCCUGGUUCGGCAAACCUUGCAUGUGUGUGUGUGUGUGUGUGUGUAUAUAUGCAUAAACAACGUAUAUACAUACAUGUAUAUACAUACAUACAUACAUAUAUAUGUGCAUACAUUUAUAUUGUAUAAAUGUAUAUAUUGAUAUAUGUACAUAUAUACAUACAUAUACAUAUAUAUUGGUCUACUCUUCUUCAUUGAGGCGUCAAUUCAACCAAUCCAAAAUCAAUGAUGGAGAUUCCAUAUGGAGGAUCCACACCAUUGAUUAUAAUCUACUUUACAAAAAAACUACUUUGAAAUUAAAAAUCAUGUCUUUUGAGGUCAUUGACCUAUGCAUCAAGUGGUCCAAAAAUACGUUUUAACUUUUAAAUGCUUGAUAUGAUAUGUAGCAUGAUUGAUGAUUUGAAGGUAUCCAAAUCAAUUUUAAUUUGGUACAUACAUGUUGAAGUGUAGAUCACAUGGUCAAUGGUGUGGAUUUUUAAUUUAGAUGCCAUAUGAUAUACUCAAUAACAAUAUUAGAAUCACUGAUGUUUGUGGUAUUUGAUGCACAGGUAGGAGGCUUCCAAAGCACAAGCUUCUUGAUUUCUUGAUAGAUUUUAUAAUGUAGAUCAUAAUCAAUGGUGAGGAUUCCCAAUUUAGAAUGUCCAUCAUCAAGCAUAACUGAAAAGAGCCAACUAAAUGAGCUACAUCCCCCCCCCCCCCUUUCCUCUAAAAAAAAGAAGAAGUCCUGGUAAGAAUAGGGCCUAAACAACAUUAUAUUUCAAUAGGAAUGCUAGAGAAUAAGCAGCCAGAGCAAUUAGGCCAACAUAUAUCUAGAAGAUCAGGACAAAUUAAUCAGACCAGUAUUUUUUUCUGCAGCAUGAAAGUACAAUUUAUCCUUCAAAGUUCAUCAUUCUCCACAUUGAGGUAAUUUGACUCAGCUGGUGAUAUUAAUGUAUGGGAAUUCAUGGAAAAAUGGGUCAUUACAAUCUCUAGCGAACAAAUUAAGCGAGUCCUUAAGGUUUAAGGAAAUACAUAUGAACAAUAUCAGAUUGUUUUCACUCAUGACAUUGUGUAUUCUAGGGUAUUAGACUGAUACCAGUUGAUACAAUGAUCUCAAAAUCUCUAAACCUUGUAAAAUAUGAUACUGAUUAGUCCAUGAUAUGAUAUGUGGUAUAUGAUGCCAUGCAAGUAGUAUAACAGUAACUUAAAAGGGAGAUAGUCAAACAGUUGGCUGUGAAACCAACCUAUGGAGAAAUCUAGAUUUCACACGUUUUAAGACUGCAACAACAGCAACAACAGUGAUGCAAUAUGAUGUAACAAAUUCAAUUGACUAAGUGAGGACAAGGGAAAAACUUAUCGAACCUAAAAACAGGUAGACUCAAGAAAUGAAAACAGGUCUAUAUGUAAGUGAAGCUGAAUAAAAUUGUUCACGAGGUUCGCUUUUUCAGUUUGAACAGAAGUGCUACCUGAUAUUAGAUAUCUGGAGAUAGAGGGGAAAUACUAUGUGCAAAAUCCUAAAUAAAGGGUAGUUCUUUGUAUUUCGUAGGAACACCCUUGGUUCUCUUCAUCAUUUGGCAGAGUGAGUUGAUUUGGUAAAAUAUUAGAACUCAAAAAUCAAUUCUACAUUUGUGCUCUUCCAUGAGAAGAUCAAUAAACCGAAGUACUUCUUCCCACUUCUGUGAUUUCAUAGCAUCAGAACAUAAAUCAGCACAUGAACUAUGUUUUCCAAUAAUCAACUUGGCAUAGCUACAUACAAUCACCAUUCUGAUGACAUCAAAUUAUACACAUGGCUCAUAUAUUAAGUUAGGUUGCAAAUGGCAACAUUCGAAAAAAUAUGUCAGAACUAACAAAAGUUUAGUUUAUAUUUUUCAAAAAAAAUAAUAAUUAAACUUUCAAAAGGCACCCUAGAUUAACAACGCAAACCUUAAAAUCAAAAAAUAUUUAUAUAAAUAUAAUAAACUUUUCCUUUCAAGCUUGGCUGAUUUAACUUGUAAUGCCAACGUAGCCUAAAUGACGGUUUUGAAUCACAAAGCAUUAUUGUCAACCCUAUUUUUAACAUUAUUGAGUUUCUUUGGUAGAAAGAAUAUUGUCCAAAUAAUAUAAGAAAAGCUAGGAUAGGAAAUAAAUCUAAUAUCACGAAGAAUGCCCUCACUGUUAUUGGUUCCUCCAUUUCCAGCACUCCAACAUUAUUGACCAGCAUCUCGCCAUAUUCACCAAUGCACCAUACUGUUACUCGCACUAAACUCUCCUGCACAAUGAAGUUAGACAACUAGUAAGCAAUGUAAACACAACAUAGCAAGUAUCCUUCGCAUCAGCUCUGAAAGUAAUUUUUACCUGUUCAUUUGAAGUUUGAAAUGCCUUGUAUAAUGACCUUACAGAGUAACCUUGAAGAUCAGGUGCAUUGCUUAUCAUGACUAUUAGCGCAUGCCACUCAUCAUCUUUUACAUAGUUCCCUGCCUAAAAGUAUCAUUAAAAAAAGUGUAACCAGACAUAUUAUCUUUGAUACAAAAAGGAAAAGAGAAGAAAGUUAGCAUCUUCUCCAGAAUUAGAUGAACUAGUCACAAAAUGAGAUCUUAAGAUUAUUGGAGAUUUAUCAACUAAAUCACCAGAAUUUUUGAAUAAUUCUAUUCGAGAUUAAAUAACUCCCAGGUGGCCAACAAUGAAAUACAAAUCCCUCGAUACAAGUUUUCAACAUUCAAAAAAAGUUGCACUUAUGAAGGAAAUUAGAUACCAAACAUGGCGGUGGAUAGGGUUGUGAAAAUAAUGCCACAAAAUUGUGUCUGCAAUUCAAUAUGCAUCAGCAGCAAGUGUCCUUAACAAUACGGGGGAAUAUGUGAAGAAUGUAACACAUGAAUUAAGUGCAAAUACACAAAUACUUCCAGCAGGGGUACACUUAGUUGCAUGAGAGAUGAGUUAAGAAACAUGACUCAUAAGGUCAUCUCAAGCAUCGUACAUCUACAAGGAAUAUAAAUCAUUGAGAACAGGAUGUACUUCCAGAGAUCUAUGUUAUCCAGCCAAGGCUGGAACCAUGUUCAAAAUCAAUAACCACAUACGGGUCAGAAAAUACAUUUUUGUUGAUAAAGAAUAGUAAAUUCAAAUGUGACGAAAACAAGAGGGAAAGAAAGGAAAGUAGGGAAACCUCCCACAAACAAUAACAUGCAAUAAAGGUGUUUAGUUUCAAAAACAUCUCCACAAUACAUAUCCAUCUAUUAACCAUUAUUUUGACAAGCAAGUUUUUGUCAUCUGAAAAUGGAUAAUUGUGUGCCAUCUAAUAGCUUGAUCUUUAGACAUUUGACAAUGUAUGCUUUAAAUAGCGAGGUUAUCUAAGUGGUGAGAUCCACUAAUUAAAGGAUAAACGAGUGCAAUCCCAUUACACAUAUAAGUUGAAAGAAAAUAAUACAGUAAAUAAAUAAUAUACAUACAUACAUAUAUAUAUAUAUAUAUAUAUAUAUAUAUAUUCUCGUGCAUUCCCUUGCUUGGAGGAAAUAGUAUUAGGCACUGGUAUAUCAGUUGAUGCAGAAGGUGAUCCAAUUGAUAGAAGAUCCAUCAGAAUAUCUGUACCUCCACCCCCUGAUGGAGCUGGACUUAUCAAAUCACCACCCAACAGGUCAUGCAGAAAAUCAGUAGUAGAUGAAGUAGAAGCUGGCACAUCAUCUGAACUUAAAUCAAGUAGAUCCACCAGGGGAGCUGGUGGUGGUUUGGCUACACCGUUUGGAAGCUUCAGUGAGGCCCCUGGAGAUCCAGAGGUUGGUCGGCUAGAUUUAUCUGCUGAAAGGGUUGCUUGUGAAGAGCCCACUCUCUUUCCAAUAAAAGCUGACUCAUCCAGAACAGGCAUCCUUUCAACUAAAGAAGAUUUAAUAUUCCGAUGUCUUUGGAUGAUCGAGUUGAAUUCAAUUGAUCUCUGCUGUAACUCCAGUUCAACGUUUCCUUUAUGAUGCAUAACAAUCUCUCUUAUCCUCUCCGAGGUGGGAGGAAAACGUGAGGAGAGCUUCAAAAGAGCAACCAAGGACAUUGCUCGAGUUGUGAUAUCUGAAGAAUGACAUUUUAAAGCAACCUCUACAACAUCCACAGCAUCGGAUUCUGUNNNNNNNNNNNNNNNNNNNNUAUUGUUGUCACGAUUUGACAAGAAUCUUCCCAAAAUAUUGAUAGCAAGCACACGAAGACCACUACUAGCUUCAAUACCCAUGAUAGUUUCAACACAUUCAUACAGAAUAGCAUUUCCAGCAUUUUUGUUUGACUCAGUUUUUGUCGCAACCUGAGCAAGAAUGUCAUUCAUAUACUCACUGGAAUCUGCAUCUCCUUGGCCCAGCAUACGCAUAAGCCUAAGCACUCGGAUGUGCAGAAACGGGUCUGUAAUCCCAGCAACGUCAUACUCAGGUGCAUAUGGACUAUUUGAUACAUCUCUCAGUAUUCGAACCAGUCCUUCUGUGCAGUUCUUUCUCAAAUAUUCUAGGGCGUCGGUACUAGCUUUACAAAGAUAUAUAUAUAUAUAUAUAUAUAUAUAUAUAUAUUGCACCCCCCACAUUAUAUAUUACUAAAGUUCAAUAGCAUAGUAAUUGAAAUUAGCAACAAAGACAUUGCUUGACAAUUCAAAGCAACAAAGAG
rnacentral:lncRNA from 1 species